AGUCAUCGUAACCCCCAUGCUGCAGUGUUUAAGGUGCCUGGACAAUCCCUUGGGGUAGUGACAAUGUAUGGUGCAAUGGUCUUUUACACCAAAACAGUUAAGAAUAAAUUUUUCUUUUGUCCUCCUUUGAGAUACUUAUGUACAAGUAGCUAUUUAGUAGCAUUUACUAUUUACUGGUAAGUCAGAUGACAGAUCCUCAUUCACGCAUGCGCAAAUUCAAACAUAUUUGCCAGCCUCCAAAGCAUCAGGGGAAACUCAAGUUCAUUCAUAAAUUAGAUCCUUGUAAGUGCAUGUGAAAAAUUGUGCCUUUCAUUGUUGUAAAUAUACCAUUUGAUAAUUCCGCUGUAGAGAUUCUAAACAUUAUAGAGGAUGCUAGCACGUAACACUAAU